GACAGGGAUCAGUGGCAGUUAGUGAUGGAGAGAGGGAUUAGAGCAGACAGGGAUCAGUGGCAGUUAGUAAUGUGGAGGAGAAACAGAUCAGUGGCAGUUAGUGAUGAGGAGAGGAAGAGGAGUAGACAGUGAUCGAUGUCAGUGAGGGAUGGAGAGAGGGGUUCGAGCAGAUAUGGAUCAGUGGCAGUUAGUGAGGAGGAGAGGGAUAGGAGCAGACAGAGAUCAAUGGCGGUUAGUGAGGAGGAGAGGGAUAGGAGCAGACAGGGAUCAGUAGCAGUUAGUGAGGAGGAGGGGGAUAGGAGCAGACAGAGAUCAGUAGCAGUUAGUGAUGGAGAGGAGACAUGGAUCAAUGGCAGUUAGGGAUGUGGAGAAGGAUAAGAGCAGACAGGGAUUGAUGGCAGUUAAGCGAUGUGGAGAAGGAUAAGAGCAGAUGGGGAUUAGUGUCAGAAGGCACACACAGUGCUGGGACUGGGGGGAACAUUUCCAGAAGGCACAGACAGUGCUGGGACUGGGGGGAACAUUUCCAGAAGGCACAGACAGUGCUGGGACUGGGGGGAACAUUUCCAGAAGGCACACACAGUGCUGGGACAGGGGGAACAUUUCCAGAAGGCGCACACAGUGCUGGGACUGUGGGGAACAUUUCCAGAAGGCACACACAGUGCUGGGACUGGGGGGAACAUUUCCAGAAGGCACACACAGUGCUGGGACAGGGGGAACAUUUCCAGAAGGCACACACAGUGCUGGGACAGGGGGAAACAUUUCCAGAAGGCGCACACAGUGCUGGGACUGGGGGAAACAUUUCCAGAAGGCACA